rnacentral:rRNA from 1 species
UACGGCGGCACCACCCUGGAAUGCGCCCGAUCCCGUCAGAUCUCGGAAGUUAAGCUGGGUAGGGCUCGGUUAGUCCAAGGAUGGGAGACCUGCCUUGUAUCGAAUCCCGCCGUGC